ACAUUUGAAUAACAAAAUAGUCACGGCGAAAGGGAAAACUGAAAGGUGCCAUGUUUUCAUUCCAGGUGAAAAUUAGAGAACUAUGAAGGCCCAGUAGUGAUUUCGUGGAGGAUACAAACGGACGCUUUUAUCUACCCCUCGUUUAAUCACUGGCCUGGCACGUUACCCCUUUCUGUACUUUAGCUGCACAGCAAUUGUUACUCUAUUCUCACUGAUAUAGACGGACCGCACUGUAUACUCCACGUGAGUUUUUUUUAGCCCCGCUGCACGAAUAUUUGUGAUACUUCAACGACACGCAGUCCUAUUAAUUUUUGCCGUUAUUUCAUUUUGGAUGGACUUCGAUAUGCAUUCCAAUCUGUACAAUUCUGCAGUGUGUUGAUAUAUAAGCAGGUAUUUUUUUCUCUCUCUACCGUUGUGUGUGUUUAUCACCCCCUCUAAUAUUCAACGAAGUUUCAAAGUGAGGGAGAAAGAAAAGAGAAUAUUUAUCUUGUUUUUAUUUAUUUAUUUGUGGAACUUUGUACAUCGACUGAAAAUCGCACCUGUUGUGUAUUAUAAGAGGACACCCUAUAUUUAUUAUCGCACAACGAAAACUGAUUCAACUCACCGCAACUUUUGUGUGUGAAACUUGACAGAGAAAUCGAGAGAGACAGAAAGAAUAAGUGUGCAACCAAUUUCUUCUCUCUAUUUUCGUGUGGAAAAUACAAUGCGACAGAUGGAGAUGGCUACAUCGAGUUUGAAAACAGAAACAACUAUCGCCCUGAGUCAGUCAAUGGACUCUGUCAACACUAAUCCUGAGGAAGAGGUAAGUGCUUGUCAACUUUUUGUAUUUCAACCCCCCCCCCACCCCUCCCCUUCUUCAAAAUUUUGCGCACCUGCCUCCUUCCCCCCACCCCCAAAC
rnacentral:misc_RNA from 1 species